AUGGCUGUCGUCAGCUCGUGUCGUGAGAUGUUGGGUUAAGUCCCGCAACGAGCGCAACCCUUGUCUCAUGUUGCCAGCGCGUUAUGGCGGGGACUCGUGAGAGACUGCCGGGGUCAACUCGGAGGAAGGUGGGGAUGACGUCAAGUCAUCAUGCCCCUUAUGUCCAGGGCUUCACACAUGCUACAAUGGCCGGUACAAAGGGCUGCGAUGCCGUGAGGUUAAGCGAAUCCUUGAAAGCCGGUCUCAGUUCGGAUCGGGGUCUGCAACUCGACCCCGUGAAGUCGGAGUCGCUAGUAAUCGCAGAUCAGCAACGCUGCGGUGAAUACGUUCCCGGGCCUUGUACACACCGCCCGUCACGUCAUGAAAGUCGGUAACACCCGAAGCCAGUGGCCUAACCCUUGUGGGGGGAGCUGUCGAAGGUGGGAUCGGCGAUUGGGACGAAGUCGUAACAAGGUAGCCGUACCGGAAGGUGCGGCUGGAUCACCUCCUUUCUAAGGAGCACCACGAAAAGAGUGCGGCAUCAGGUCGCGCUCGGGCCGUGAGGAGCCGUGUCGCCUGUAGUGGGUGGCGGUUUGGUGCGCAACAACAAUCGUCUCGUUUCGAGGCAUGCAGAAUCGCCGGCACACUAUUGGGUCCUGAGACAACACCUGCGGUCCCCGUGUGUGGGGGUGGUGUUGUCCCGCCAUUUUGGUGGUGGGGUGUGGUGUUUGGUAAUUGGAUAGUGGUUGCGAGCAUCUAAGCAAAAUCGCUGUAUUGCUGUUUUGUUGAAAGUGUUUUCUUGUGUUGUAAGUGUUUAAGGGCGCAUGGUGGAUGCCUUGGCAUCAGGAGCCGAUGAAGGACGUGGGAGGCUGCGUUAUGCCUCGGGGAGCUGUCAACCGAGCGUUGAUCCGAGGAUGUCCGAAUGGGGAAACCCGG
rnacentral:sRNA from 1 species